rnacentral:rRNA from 1 species
AAGCGAUACUGCGAAGUGGAGCAAAUCCCUAAAAGGCGUCUCAGUUCGGAUUGCAGGCUGCAACUCGCCUGCAUGAAGUCGGAAUUGCUAGUAAUCGCGGAUCAGCAUGCCGCGGUGAAUACGUUCCCGGGCCUUGUACACACCGCCCGUCACACCAUGAGAGCCGGGAACACCCGAAGUCCGUAGUUUAACCGCAAGGAGGACGCGGCCGAAGGUGGGUUUGGUAAUUGGGGUGAAGUCGUAACAAGGUAUC